AGGGCCGCCAGCUGCAGCAGCUGCCGGGGAAAAGCCGUGAGCCGGUUGUGGUCCACGUCGAGCGUGCGCAGGCGGAAGAGGCAGGAGAGGGAGUCGGGCAGGUGGGCCAGCCGGUUAAAGCUGACAUCCAGCUCCUCCAGGUCAAGCGGGAACACAUAUGCUCCCUACUGAGGAAAAUAAACUGCAAUGUAUUUUUAGCAUCCGUUGGAAGUACUUUCAGCUGAAGAGAUUCUGCAGGAUCCAGACAAUUUCACUGAAGGCCAAAGGAUUGGCCACAAUGUCACCUAGAAUUCUAGAACUUGCCCUGGGGGUCUGUGGAACAACCAUCUUGGACGUGAGGUGGAAGACAAGGGUUGAGGAGGCUGGGGACAAGAAGAUAGAAGAAGCUUAUCUUUUUUUCAUGAUUACGGAGCCACCAAGCCAGCUGAAUUGACAUAGAAUGAAAAAGAAACUUCCGCCUUGUUUAACUCACUCUUAAUUUGAAUUUCCUGUCACAGAUGAAUCUAAUCCCAACUAAUACAGAUUUUACUUGUACCCUUUCCGCCCUACCUUUUAACCCUUCAAUUCCUGGAUCCCUCAAACAAAAUGAGGGUGCACAACUUUUCAUGAUAUAACUCCCUCGUAAGUCGUUCUGUGGUAUCCUUAAGCACCUAUUCCGACCAACGAAAGGGAUGCGUAAAGUGGACU